rnacentral:tRNA from 1 species
GCCCCGUAGCAUGAAGGUCGUGCAGUUGAUUUGUAAUCAUCAGGUAGCGGUUCGAUUCCGUUCGGGGCACCA